UAUAUCGGAACGUGCCCAGUCGUCGGGGGAUAACGUAGCGAAAGCUACGCUAAUACCGCAUACGAUCUAAGGAUGAAANCGGGGGAUCGCAAGACCUCGCGCGAUUGGAGCGGCCGAUAUCAGAUUAGGUAGUUGGUGAGGUAAAGGCUCACCAAGCCGACGAUCUGUAGCUGGUCUGAGAGGACGACCAGCCACACUGGGACUGAGACACGGCCCAGACUCCUACGGGAGGCAGCAGUGGGGAAUUUUGGACAAUGGGCGCAAGCCUGAUCCAGCAAUGCCGCGUGCAGGAUGAAGGCCUUCGGGUUGUAAACUGCUUUUGUACGGAACGAAACGGUGAGCUCUAAUACAGUUUGCUAAUGACGGUACCGUAAGAAUAAGCACCGGCUAACUACGUG
rnacentral:rRNA from 1 species